rnacentral:rRNA from 1 species
UACGUAGGGUGCAAGCGUUAAUCGGAAUUACUGGGCGUAAAGCGCGCGCAGGCGGUCCUUCAAGUCAGAGGUGAAAGCCCAGAGCUCAACUCUGGAAUGGCCUUUGAGACUAGAGGACUUGGGUACGGGAGAGGUGAGUGGAAUUCCGAGUGUAGAGGUGAAAUUCGUAGAUAUUCGGAAGAACACCAGUGGCGAAGGCGGCUCACUGGCCCGUUACCGACGCUCAGGCGCGACAGCGUGGGGAGCAAACAGG